rnacentral:tRNA from 1 species
GCGGGCGUAGUUCAGUGGUAGAACGUCAGCUUCCCAAGCUGAAUGUCGCGAGUUCGACUCUCGUCGCCCGCU